rnacentral:tRNA from 1 species
UCACUAGAUGACUGAAAGUAAGUGUAGGUCUUUUAAACCUAUUAUAGUAAUUAACGAAUACUUCUAGUGAA